GUGCUUGCUUCAGCACACAUACUAAAAUUGGAACAAUAUAGAGAAGAUGAGCAUGGCCCCACACAAGGAUGACAGGCAAAUUUGUGAAGCAUUCCAUGUAUUU